CCCAACGAGUGAGUUCACUGCAAGAUUUUGCAUUCCUUGAUUGAUUGCAUACAUUAUUUCUCAUGAUUGCACUUUGUGGUAUUAGUUUAGCAGCCUUACUUUCAGACAAAAUAUGCCACUGUUACUUUAGUUAAAUUGGAUGUGAAUGAGAGGUUUGAUAUCUUUUCUAUUGCUAUAGUCUCACCCAUCUAUCCACCUCUUCAUCGUAUAAGUAUUACAAGAAGUGAAAUUGGAGUAACAAGUAUAUAGAGGUGUUUUGGUAAGGUAACGUAGCUGAAUUGUACAAGAAUUAAGGCUUAUCAGGUUUUGAACUAUUGAGCUGACGGUGACAACAAAUUGGUACCUGCAGCUUUUGAGCACAUAUCAGUUGCUGGAAUCUCUUCCACUUUCAAAUAUUGCUUCGGGAUUACUCACUCAGAAGGAGUUAGGAUGGCAAUUUCGUUUUGCUUCACUGUAACACCACACCAAAUCUUGUGUGUGCUAUUUUAGUGCUUAUGCUUCUGUUCCCAACACUAGAUGGACUUUUUUAUAUAGUAAUAUUUGAUUUAUUUUGGCAAAGGGGAAAGAUGAAAAAGGAAGAAUUCAUGAAGAAAGUGCAUGAGAUGCUGACAGAAGAAGAGAGGCAAAGGGGAAAGAUGAAAAAGGAAGAACUCAUGAAGAAAGUGCAUGAGAUGUUGACAGAAGAAGAGGGGAAAAUGGUACCUACUGUUAGAAAUUUGGGUAUGAUAAUCCUGGAUAACUUCGAAAAUCGUGUUUGCACACUUUCCGAACAAAGUAUUUCGACCCUAUUCUUGCCUGGGUUCACGAAAUCCUUGUUGGGAUAAUUUUGAAGAUCAAUCUGCUUCUGGCAAUAGAGAACAGAUCAGAAAAUAGAGAGCGAUUCUGGUUUUGUUUUCUGUGUACUAUUUCCUUAGGCUGCAAGCAACCUUAUAUAGAAGGCUCCGCCCCUUGGACCCCGGUUCGUAUUCGCGGUCAAUUAUGCGUUAGCUCACCGAGCGUGCACUCCGCACUAACUUGACUCGAUUCCGAGCCUAACUCGUAAUUGCAUCAGCCUAUAGUAGAUCACAUUACUACUAAAAUACAUUGAUGAUUCUAAAAUCACCAACACCUACUGUACAGGGUCUUCCAUGGACAAAAGAUGAACCUGAGUGCUUGGUGAAACCUCCAGUUAAAGAAAGCACAAGACCUAUUGACCUGAAGCUUCAUAGUGAUUUGCGGGGAAUCGAUUGUGAUGAGUUUGAUCAUCAGGUGCCACUUUCAUCUAUCUUCCUUUGGUUUCUCUUUUUCCUCUAUGUUUUUACACAUCAUAAAGUGCAGUUGCUGAAUUCAAUUAAGCUCCAGCUGUUCUAUCUUUCAUUUGGGGAUUUACAAAAUUGUGGAAAUUGAACAAAAUUCGAUUAGUUAAAUUGUACAGGUGGCAGAAAAAAUGAGCUUGUUAGAACUACAGAAAUGGAAAUGGAGAGACAACAGAAGGUACACUGUGCUCUGUUAAAUUAUAUGAAAGUAAUGAACUUUUGUGUAUUCAUUCUCAAUAGGGGGAUCAUGAAAAAAAAAGCAUCUAGCGGCGGUUAAAACUGCCGCAAAACAGAGGCGAAAUGGAGUAUGCAAUCUGCAACGUUUUCAACCGCCGCAGAACGCCCCGACGCUCAUAACUGCGGCACUCCAGCAAACGCCUCAGCAUACAUAUAACUGCCGCAAAUUGCUCCCAGAACUGCCGCAAAAUGCUUAUAUUUUUGUAGUGUGUCAAGUUUCAUACACAUCCUUUUUUUGAGGUAAAGUUUCAUAGACAUCCUUUACACAUUGGUAGCUUUCUUAAUUUUGUGUAGAAGUGAUUAGAUAUUGUGUGUGGUUUCUUUUGAACAUAUUAUUGACGAGGAGAUAGAUAAAGUUGAAAUAAUGCCAAUUAUCUGAGGACAAAAAUGAUAGCGAAGAAGAAUCUAAGGAUGCGAUGGUAACUCACCAAGAUAGAAAAGAUAAAGCAUUUGAUGAUGUUAGUGACAUUGAAGGAAAUGAUGAUAUGAUGGGGUUUAAUGUGUCAUUCCCGCAUGUUUUAGUUCUUUUUAGAACAAUUUAUAAAAAAAAUUCAAAUUAUUCAUAAGAUGAAAAUCUCAGCUGGUAGCAAUUGGGGAUGCCACAAUGGUGUCGCGAUGUAUUACUUUUCAAUGGAUCCAAUUCAUGUAGUCUCUCAUAAUUCCAAAUCAUCAUGUGUUGUUGGAGCCAUUCUACACCCGCGCAAAGCGCGAGUAUACAUCUAGUUUAUUUUAAUCAGGAUCAUUCAUGA